rnacentral:lncRNA from 1 species
AUAAAUCCUUCCCCGCCCCUUUCUCCCCUCCCCCCCACUUCCGGAUGCCACAGUUCCUGGCAUCCAUGUUGCAUUGGUACCUACCAGUCUUCUUCCUCGUCGUCUUCCUGAUUCCCUUCCUAAUGAGAAUCCGUGCAAGCCAGAUGGGGCAGGACACAACUGUACUCCCUGUCUACAGGAAGUGAAGACAGGAAGAUCAGGAGUUCAAGGUCAUCCUGGAAUACACAGUAAGUUUGCAACCCACCUCGGAUGAG